rnacentral:rRNA from 1 species
UACGUAGGGGGCUAGCGUUGUCCGGAAUCAUUGGGCGUAAAGCGCGUGUAGGCGGUUCGGUAGGUCCGCUGUGAAAGGCGGGGGCUCAACCCUCGGAUGCCGGUGGAUACUGUCGGACUAGAGUACGGAAGAGGCGAGUGGAAUUCCUGGUGUAGCGGUGAAAUGCGCAGAUAUCAGGAGGAACACCGAUUGCGAAGGCAGCUCGCUGGGACGUUACUGACGCUGAGACGCGAAAGCGUGGGGAGCAAACAGG